CUUGCAGAACGGUGGCGGCUUUGACGGGGUUGGUGGUCAGCGCUUCAAAAACAUUGGGGUAAGAACUGAGGCACUCUCUGGGGUAAUUGAGGAUGAGUCUGGGGAAAGAAGUCCAUUCUCUUCUCUGUGCGGAGUAAAGAUUGGCCCUUAACUUCUUGGACAUUUGUCAUUGUCAAAAGUCUCACUAAACGUAGAUUCAUUUCUUCCUCUUGCACUGGUGCCCCCCGUACUAUGCUACUCCUCAAGAAAAGAGUAGUUCUUUCUUCACAGUUGGAUUUCCAAGCCAUUCCAAUUUGUUCUAGUUGCCAUAAAGCCCUUUACAGAAUCCUUCCAGGAAGUUUUCCUCAGUGCUAUCUGCAGUCUGCUUUUAGUGUAGGAGAGGAGCGUUGACUUCUGCCCCUUCACUUUGCUUGUUCUGAGGAUACAGGAAACUGGGAGGUGAUAGGAGCUGAGAGAACUGAAGUGUACUUAUUUGUACAAAAUUCAUGCAGUGGCUGCGUCAGGGAGGCUUCAGGAAAAUAUGCCUGAUACUGGAGGUCCUGGAAGAUUCUUGGAAGUUGGUCUUAGUGUAGAAUGGAGGAGGCAAUUAUCUGAGACAAAGCCUGGAACAUUGAAAGCAUAGUAGGAAUUGUGAGGUUGUGAGAUGUGGGACAAACUCCAAAACAGUGGGACAUGAGGAAAGAGGAAGGAGGAGUACUGUGAGAUACUGCAAACUCAGAAAUACAUGAAGAUGAGGACGUAGCUGUACAACAGCCCAAAGCAGAACAAUUUGGGAUCACUGAAAAAGGAGAAUGAAGAGAUGGGAAGAAUUGCAGUGAAAGAGGAACACAAAUUAUUAUGUCUCAGGUUGGCUUCGAACCCACUGUCGUCUAUAAUCCCCAGGGUGCCCUAGGGAACCCUAUCAGCUUUGAUGGGAAUCAAGUUGGCUGGACAGAACUUCAGUCAUAAUGGCAACAGCUUCGAGACACCAGUCGUCUAUGACUCCUGAAUAUUUUCCAUCUGAUUUCAAUCUAUAAUCCUAAAUCUACCCUGAUGAUGAAGAAUUUCGCUUAGAAAUGCAGAGAUCCUAUGUCCUUUCCCUGGUGCAAUGCAAAUAAACCUGAA